AACGAACGCUGGCGGCAGGCUUAACACAUGCAAGUCGAGCGCCCCGCAAGGGGAGCGGCAGACGGGUGAGUAACGCGUGGGAAUCUACCCAUCUCUACGGAAUAACGCAUGGAAACGUGUGCUAAUACCGUAUACGUCCUUCGGGAGAAGGGUUUAGCGGAGAUGGAUGAGCCCGCGUGGGUUCAGCUAGGUGGUGGGGUAAAGGCCUACCAAGGCGAUGAUCCAUAGCUGGUCUGAGAAGAUGAUCAGCCACACUGGGACUGAGACACGGCCCAGACUCCUACGGGAGGCAGCAGUGGGGAAUAUUGGACAAUGGGCGCAAGCCUGAUCCAGCCAUGCCGCGUGAGUGAUGAAGGCCCUAGGGUUGUAAAGCUCUUUCACCGGUGAAGAUAAUGACGGUAACCGGAGAAGAAGCCCCGGCUAACUUCGUGCCAGCCGCCGCCGUAAAAC
rnacentral:rRNA from 1 species